rnacentral:lncRNA from 10 species
AUAUUGUGGUAGAGAUCCUAGUCAAUACAGAGAAACAAGAAAAAUAAAUUAUGAGGAUUGGAAAAGGAAGAAAUUCAACAGUCUUUAUUCACAGCUGUGAUUGCUUGCCUCUGCAGUCUCUGCAGGAGUCAGAGGAUGGAGCUGCAGAGCCUCUAAGGCCAGAAUUAGGCCCAACAGGGGAGGAUGCAGACAGGCACAUCAAGACCCCAUACAAAGGAAAACGUCCUAAGGGCCACAGGAAUAGGCUGCUUUAACGGGAUACUGAGCGCCCUGUCACCACUGGAGUUCACACAAAGGCUGGAGAACGACCUGACCGAAGCAGCGGACGAAUCCUCGCCCUGGGUGACAGGUGAGAAGUCUAUGGUCAAGGCGCCUGAAC